rnacentral:rRNA from 1 species
GAUGAACGCUGGCGGCGUGCCUAAUACAUGCAAGUCGAGCGAACAGACGAGGAGCUUGCUCCUCUGACGUUAGCGGCGGACGGGUGAGUAACACGUGGAUAACCUACCUAUAAGACUGGGAUAACUUCGGGAAACCGGAGCUAAUACCGGAUAAUAUAUUGAACCGCAUGGUUCAAUAGUGAAAGACGGUUUUGCUGUCACUUAUAGAUGGAUCCGCGCCGCAUUAGCUAGUUGGUAAGGUAACGGCUUACCAAGGCAACGAUGCGUAGCCGACCUGAGAGGGUGAUCGGCCACACUGGAACUGAGACACGGUCCAGACUCCUACGGGAGGCAGCAGUAGGGAAUCGUCCGCAAUGGGCGAAAGCCUGACGGAGCAACGCCGCGUGAGUGAUGAAGGUCUUCGGAUCGUAAAACUCUGUUAUUAGGGAAGAACAAAUGUGUAAGUAACUAUGCACGUCUUGACGGUACUUAAUCAGAAAGCCACGGCUAACUACGUG